AGGGAGUUAAAAGACCGGUUCCUCAAUCUCGUAACCUUUUAAGAGACGGGCUCCACUUGACUUAAAAAUGUGGACCAAUGCUGUCCCCACCACCUAGGUAACACAUCUUUCUUUCACAUCCUCUGGAGGAGUAAGUCUGGAAAGGAAGGGGUAGCCAGAAAAGAACUGAGGUAAUCCAAAAGAAAGUAUUUGGGGACUUCCAGAAGAUUCUCGAGCCAACAAAAAUAUACCCCAAUGCCAAAGCACUCCCUCGCUAAAGUCAGUAUGUGAAAAUGUGAAUAUUAUUUUGGAUGCCGUUGUGCUAACCCAAGUGUGUUAAGUCGGCGGACGCCCACGACAUUCGAAAUUGGUUGGAACGGAGCCAUCUCUUGAAUAAAUUAAGUCAUGCGUGAAAACCCAAAUUUGUGUUACAACUCAACAGAAUCAAGGCCUUGCGAAUUGGUAGUCAAACGUGGCCCCUAUUUUUAGUAUUUAAAACUCAUGAUGCCCGGUAUUUUUUUUUACCGUUUUGUACACAGAACUUCUACGUAUCGUCCUGACAAUGUCCGCGCUUUGAUAACCAAAUCAGAAAAAAAAGAGCGCAGAAACACGUAAUCAUAGAAACCACUAGAUGGAUGCAUAACGCCGGCAGUAGUCUUCAAACACCCCCAAGAAAUGUUGUUCUCAAGUGUGAUUCUCAGCUAACUGUUCCUGCGCGAGGAAAGGAAGACACAAGCUGAUGUACACACACGUUCAGGUCUCUUAUUUCAACGACACGGAUUUGAAUUUGUUGAAAUGUCUUCCAUUGUCCACCAGUCCCCAAGGAAAACAGGAAAACAGGGACCCAGGUUGGCACUGCACCUCAUUUGGCCCAUGCUUUUGUGAAAUCAUAGACUUUUCGAGCUGGAAAAUUCACAGGGUCGCUUUGCUCUGUUUUUCAUUUUGUAGAGAAGAAACUUGAGGCCGAGAAGCACGCUGUGUGCUCAGGCCUCACAGCUCAUUAGGAACACGACCCAGGCCCUUUCUUGGGCUGCUGGAAACUGAAUGCUUCUGCAGCACCUUAACAUCGUAUGAAUAACUUGUAAAAUGUAUACAUACAUGGAGCAUGGGUGCGUAGAAAAGAUCAUCUAUAUCCUAGUACCCAAAUAAAUCAUUGUUUUCGUCUUUU